UGCCAGCAGCCGCGGUAAUACAUAGGGGUCAAGUGUUGUUCGGAAUUACUGGGCGUAAAGCGUACGUAGGCGGAUUAAUAAGUUGGGGGUGAAAUCCCAGGGCUCAACCCUGGAACUGCCUCCAAAACUGUUAGUCUUGAGUUCGAGAGAGGUGAGUGGAAUUCCAAGUGUAGAGGUGAAAUUCGUAGAUAUUUGGAGGAACACCAGUGGCGAAGGCGGCUCACUGGCUCGAUACUGACGCUGAGGUACGAAAGUGUGGGGAGCAAACAGGAUUAGAUA
rnacentral:rRNA from 1 species